UCCAGGUUGCCGGCACAGCGUCGGCGGCCGCAUUCAUCAACGGAAACCCGCGACCGCGGGCGCGCAACAUCGGGACGAGCGGCACGUGGUGCGCAAACCCCUCUCCGGGUGCGCUGGGGAGAGCUGCCCAGUUGCCGAUUCUCUGGCAGCGUUUGUAUUCCGAACUGACGGGAGCUUCCGUCUGUUUUGUGACACUGAACAGUUUAACGCCCUUUGAAAGCGCCCUCCCCCGAGCUAUCGCAAAGGGUUUAAUCGGCAGGCGCAGACUAAUUAUUUCAUUCUGAAUUACAGUCCUCUAAUUGCUUGACGUGCUGUGUCCAGAAUAUUUAUACUGGAGAAAUCCUAUGAGCUAUAAAGCUCUUUCACAGUGAUUGAAUGGUUAGCGGGUUGAAUGAGGCAGGCUUUUUAUAAUCCCCCUCCACGUGUGGUGGGAUAAAGUGUGGGUACUCCCGUUGACUUAAAUACAUCUGGCCAGUGUGGAAGAGUAGGCCAAACCCCUUGCAGAGGAGGUGAGAGCGGACGGGGGAUCUCCGGCGCUCCCUCCGGUCAAUGCCCCUUUCUACCAGCAGUGACGCAAGUUUGAUAUUGCAGAGCUGCACCGUUACCUUUGCUGUGUCCAAAUCCACUUAUUUGAUUAUCCUCACGAUUGCCCACAUCUCGCAAGUGUCUGGAACGUCCGUCCACUAUCGCGAAACUACUUCGCCGGCGACUUCAAUAAUAAUGUUAACGAUACAAUAUAUAUGUUUAUAUUGUUUUACUCAUCGGCGCAUCGUUGCCUGCUCUGCGAGCGCCACACGCCCAGCUGUCAGACGCCCACCAAGCGCGAACGCGAUGACUCCGGAGAUAUUAAAAAUAGGCGAGCGUGCCUCCACACCCGAAACGAGGGGCUUGUCGAAUCGGCCUUGGCGUGUACAACUUCCUCUGAUUUCAAAUUCUAUUUGCAUCUAGGCGGGUGGCGGUCGCGGUGGCUACUCAACUGUGUAUGUCCAAUUCUCGGUGGGGUGCCACAGUGGCGAGAUGUUAACUACUACCCCUCGUCUGGUAUGCAGGAGGUCGUGGGUUCAAUCUUAACCCUGACGACGCUUGUAUAUUUGGAGUUUGCAUGUCUCUCUCCCUCUGGUCUCAUGGAUUUUUCUACAGGUCCUCCGCUUUUUCCCUCCACAUUUAGAAUCAAUGUGCGUAUUUGGCUGCUAUAUAUUUCUGCGUGAAAAGCCAUUUGUUGAGCUGUCAUCUGUGGCCAGGUCAUUUCUGAAAAAGAGCGAGAUGGCUCACUGGGGCUUACCUGGUAAAAUUAAAAAUAGUUCGUAGUUUUAGUCUCGUACUGUUGCAGAGGCAGCAGUGAAGGUUCCUGGACCGCCGCACGAAUGCUGUGAAAUUUCCUUCUUUCCGUGGGUGGGCGUUUAGGAGGUCGCCGUACCCUGGCUCAACCAGGAUACAGCGAUACGACCGAUACGAAGACAUGCCGACGCCACCUGUAUGGGAUAGAGCGUUGUCCCCUCGCACGUGGGAUUUCUCCGGUUGGUCCGAUGUACUCCGACGUGUAUAAACGCUCGCUAAUUAGCUGAUAAUGCCUUAAUAUAUAUAAGGUUGCAGAGCUUGGGGUGGCAUUUCGCGCCGGCUCACCGUCUUGGCUGCUGUUGCGUUGCCGCUUGCCUGUGGUUCCUCCUCGCUCCUCUCGAGUUUUCCUCUCAGAGAAUGAGCCAACACCGCUGUUAUGAGUUGAAAUGUGUUUAUCGUUUACAACAAAUAAAUGAAAACAACCAGGAUGUGAAGUGCCGAAAAUAAGUAAGCAGACAAUACGUCUGCUUGCCAAAGCUGUCCCUAAAACAUAAUGGUAUUUUUUGUUUUUUUACAAAUCCCAUCAGCAACACGGCGACUUCGGGAUUAGAUGUUUUUUUUUUUAUCAGAGGAAUGGAUUUAAUGCGAGGAAACUACCGGGUUCAACAUUCUGCAUCUUUCCGUCAGCCUUAAUCCAACGCAGGCGAACCUCCACGCAUUUAUAGGCAAGGGCCCUCUCUGUUAGAUGCGGGUCCUACCGAGUCCUACACGAUUCCUAACAAAAUAAUAAUUGACGGCGUUGUGGAGACUUAUCAAAACAGGGUGGCCACCCUCGUCUGGUUUAGACGGAUGGAGAAGGGAUGACCGGUUCGGAUACCACUCACUCAGGGGUCAAGCAACCAAAAUAUCAGUGGCAUUACGUCUCCAAUCGGUCCAUGAAGAGCCGCGUGCGACUCGAUCUACAGGUUGCCGACCCCUGUAUUAGCCACUGAUGUUAGCCGUGGCCUGUCAUCCGUACAACGGAAGAAGAACCCCGUCAUGUCAACACAAUCAGUGUUGCGCGAUUCUUGUUCACCGAUAACACUCGUUAAGAAACAAUUCUGAGCUUCAAUUCCGAAGCAAAUGGACCCUCAAAAGGGAGCUUAAAUGGAAGACGUGCUCCUCGCGCAUACUGAAUUAGCACGCGUGAUUAACCGCUGCCGAGACCCAUCAAGGGACGCGUUGGUGUGUUGGGCCACCGCGUACGGAAGCGACUCGCAAUUAGCGCAAAUGCGCGGUGCGCGCGCACAAGGCGGAGGAAGAAGCGUCGUUGAGAGAUGCCAGAGGAGUAUGAAGUUUGACGGGUGCCGUCCGUUGCAUUUUGCCAGCGAUAAAUCAUCCCAAUUACACGUAAACCUGUUGAGUGCCCUGGGCGCGAUUGGGAUUUACAAUAUUUUAAGUGCUGGAGUUAAGCGGCUGAUUAAUUGAAAUUGUUUUUGAUGCUCUUCACAAUGUUUUUUUUCUCUAUCCAUAAUCCGGGAGGGAUGUCUUCUUCAGCUUACAAGUUCCAUCUCUAUCCAAGACUAUUCCGAUACAGGGACUCCUAGCCCAUUACAUCUUGCAGUUCACCGAGCGGAUGGCUUAUGCAAGGCUGCCCCUGCUGAUGGGGCAAUGUAUGGCGUCACCGCUGGUGAGAUGUUAACUUCCUCCCCUGGUAUACAGGGUUUUAUCAGGACCCUGAAGCCUUUAUAUUUGGAGUUUGCAUGUUUACCACGUGGAUUUUUCUCCGGGUUCUCCGGGUUUUCCAUCCACAUUUAGAAGCAACGUGCAUUCAAAGUAUUUGGCUGCUAUAAAUUUUCCACACGACAUAUAAGCCACUUCGUUGAGCUAUCAUUUGUGAUAGCCAGGUCACAUCUGAAAAAGAGCUACUCAGUGGACCUUACCCCUGGUUAGAAAAAAAUAAAUAGAUGUUUCAUUAGUUUAUAGGCGCUGUUUGACUACCGCUACUCGCUAACAUCACUUCCCUCAACAGCCUGAUGAAGCUAUACUGUGUUGGGGUGGUGGGGCCUUUGUGCGGUGGCUUCCCACGCGCUCGGCUCAUCAUGACGCGCGGUGCCUGGAGACCAUCUCGGUGUGCAGGGGACAGGAACGUUGCAACGAAUAAACGAAGCCAAACGAGCGACGGGGAGUCGUUUGGGGCCACCACCGCCCCCGUGCUGCGCAGCGCAAUUAGCGGUGUGAUUCGACCGUCCUUCGUGAAUGUUCGUCUGCAAGGGCGACGCUCGUCCUUGGCGGUGUAGGGGAAAAUAAAAAAAACAAUGCAUGCAUGCCGUUAUAUGAACAAAAAUGUUAUUCGAAACGUCUCAUCGGGACCCCUGUUAAGGCAAUGUCUUAUUUGAUGAGUAGCGACGUUUUGGGCAAUGUCCCUUUUUCAGAGUGCUAUAUAUAUAGAUGCCGGAGAGAUGGAGUGGACAAUGAGGGUUGGGGAAGGCACAAAUAAUACACACCAUGGCGCCUGAUGAGAAUUGCAUUAGAUUUUUUUUCUCACGAACAUUUUUUUCCGAUGUUAUAUGAAUAGUUAUCGAAUCUUAAUAUUUCGUUUUGUUCCUUUCUCAGUCUGCUUGUCCUGGUGAGGGUCGCGGCGGCAGCAUGUUGAGUAGGGCGGUCCAGACCUCCCUUUCCCUGGCGACAGACUCCAGCUCUUCCUGGAGAAAUCCCGAGCGUUCCCAGGCCAGCCGAGCGACAUCGUCCCGCCAGCGUGUCCUGGACCUGCCCCGAGAUCUUCGCCCAAUGGGACGCGCUGCCCGCUGUGACAGGCUGAUUCAACCCUGUGAAGAGACUGCCGCCCUCAGAUGAAGUUGCCUGGUCACUUUGCGCUGGCGAAGCCUGAUUGCAAUUCCUCAUCGACGACUCUCUACCCCGACAGCGCCGGCAGCGUGAACACGGCGUGCUCGCAGAGCGGAGCUGAGAGCGUCGUUGGCGGGCGAGGAGGAGGAUGCUUGUGAGAUGCGCACGCCGCUGCAGCUAAUUAGAACCACAGCGGGGGCAGCCAACCGGGUCCCGAUGAUUCACCAUUCACACUCGAUGCUCGCGUGCAGAAUCGUGCACGUGAAAACUGGUAUUUAUAGUUUUUGUUGCUAAUGAAUCGGUGCCCGCCGAUUCACGGCAGCCGCUCGCUCGCCCCCCCCGCUGGCGGUCAGUCACCUCCUCGUCACUCUGCUAUCGCUACUACCCGCCACGGUUGCCGUGUCCCGUGAUCUAUUCUCGUCAGGUUCCUCCUCCUGCAUCAUGCGUGUGUCGAGGACCCGGGUCGACCAGACACUGACUCGUCAUCUGUGCUGUGUUCCAAGGGCAAAAACAACACACUCACCCGUUCAAUCAGCGAUUCAAUCGCCCAACCCACUCACCAACUCACAAGCCCACUCACUCACCAGCCCACAAUGAUCCCCCGUGUAGCCUUAACAGACUGUUGAGGCAAGUGCUGUUAGCGAGUAGCACCUAUGAAGGCCGGCACAGCACACUAUUAUAGGGGGUGGAUGGCCAACACCACGCCUGGCCGUCUUUGUCUCCUGCAUGUCCGAUGUUUGCACACCGUACCAGGUACUCGUUUGAGGCUGAGUCAACCUAGGGGAGGCCCAGGACCCGUUCAGAUAAUAGUCACUGGUGUUGGCCGUGAGCAGGAAAACAAUCCGGAUCAGCGGGAUUGUAGCGCAGCGCGCUAACCGCUUCACUUCCACUCCCCACCCCACUCACCCUCUCACCCACCCACUCACCACAAUGCAGCUCACUUCACUUUUCUCUCCGCUACUCCUCUCGCACCAAUGCUCCACUUUGCAAUUCCUUCCUCCCAUCAGCUUAUCCUUUCCCCCAAGCUCAUUAUAACAACAAUAAUAACAAUAACGUUGCCCGAGAUAAAAAAAGACACUCUUCAUCUGUCACGACUGUGACGAUAGUGCUGAUUGUUGCUGGCCUCAAAUGAGAGCUCAGCGAAGUGGCUUAUCACGUGGAAAUGUAAAGCAGCCAAAUACUCUGAAGAUAUACAUCUAUAUGUACGUGUGGUAUUCAACACAUGUAUCUGUGUGUGUUGUGUGUCUGCCUGUCUCUCCAUGUGUAUUGGUCUGUCCGCAUGUGUUGUUCUGUCUGUAUGUGUCUGUGCGUUGGUCUGAACAUCUGCCAAGUGCAUUGGACUGCCCUGUAUGCCCAUCUGCCCAUCUAAGACAAUGUAUAACCCUAGUGUGCUCUUCCGAUUCACUAGCCUAUUCAACAUUUUAUUUUAUUUUACAAGGAAAGGUCCACUGAGCUCUUUUCAGAAGCGACCUUGCCACAGAUGAUAGCUCAACGAAGUGGCUUAGCGUGUGGCAAUUUAUAGCAACAGCCAAACACUCUAAGCGCGUGAUAUCGAUUCUAAAUGUGGAGGGAAAACCCGGAGGACCCGGAGAAAAAUCCACGCGACCACGGGGAGAUAGAGAGACAUGCAAACUCCAAAUAUACGGCCUCCUGCAUACCAGGCGAAGUCGCUAACAUCUCCAUUCACUUUCAUUUGUCAGACCUCGCGUAGUGGGGGACGGGGGGGAGUGUGCGGCAGUCUGCCGCAGGGGGUCUAGGAAAGUCUAUCGUCCUGCCCGGAGCGACGUGAAGAGUGGCACAUGGUGCGGGGGUGCGGUGGUCUGUGGGGGCGACCCCCUCCCCCCGCUCCCUAUGCCCCCCCCACCCUUCGAGACCGUUUCUGUCUUGAGAGGCGCUGCCAACAGCUGCUAAUUACAAAGCAGGGCCCCUCCUCUGCCGAGCAAUAUCGCUUUAAUUCUCGAAGUGUCACCCUGGACACGGAGCUAGGCUUCACAUGUUCGUGCUGGUGAUGCGAGCGUGUGUGUGUGUGUGUGCACGUACUGGUGGUGCGUGUGUGUGCGUGUGUGCACGUACUGGUGGUGCGUGUGUGUGCGUGUGUGCACGUACUGGUGAUGCGUGUGUGUGCGUGUCUGCACGUACUGUUGAUGCGAGUGUGUGUGUGUGUCUGCGCGUACUGGUGAUGCGAGUGUGUGCGUGUCUGCGCGUACUGGUGAUGCGAGUGUGUGCGUGUCUGCGCGUACUGGUGAUGCGUGUGUGUGCGUGUCUGCGCGUACUGGUGAUGCGAGUGUGUGCGUGUCUGCGCGUACUGGUGAUGCGUGUGUGUGUGCAUGUCUGCGCGUACUGGUGAUGCGUGUGUGUGUGCGUGUCUGCGCGUACUGGUGAUGCGUGUGUGUGUGCGUGUCUGCGCGUACUGGUGAUACGAGUGUCUGCGUGUCCCCGUGUCUUGCGUGUACGCGAGGGGACCGCCGAUCGUGCAGCGGUCGGCUCGCUUGCGCUAUGAACCCGGUGACCCGAGUUAGAUCGCCGCUCUCGGCCCGCUAACACGGGUGACGAUUAUCUGAACUGGUCAUGGGCCUUCGCCUAGGUCGACUCGGCCUCAAAUGAGUAGCCGGUGCGGUGUGUAGUGAGCAGACGGCCGGGCGUGGUAGCGGCGACCCACGCACCUCAUGUGUCGUGCCAGCCUCCGUAGGUGUUACUCGCCAACAGCACUUGCUCCUACAGUCUGUUGAGGCUAUAUUGGUGGGGGGUUAUUGUCUCCACAGUAGCAAUGUUUUCACAUUGCACCAGGUACUUGUACCUCCGAUGUGCACGGCUGGCCGCGUGUGGUGCAAUACAAGUUGAACAUACAUACUCAUUGGAGCCUAAUUCGACCUAGGAGAGGCCCAGAAUCGGUUCAGAUAAUCUUCACUGGUGUCGGUGGCCGUGAGCGGGAAUCGAACUGGUUUUCGUAGGCACGAUCGUAGCGUAAUGCGCUUACCGCUGCAUGCACAAUACACACACACUUACAAACAUCCCCCCCCCGUAUAGCCUGAACAGACUGUUGGGGCAAGUGCUGAUUGCAAGCACCACACGCGCACACACGCGCGCACACACGCACUCGCGCCAAUUUAAAGUGUGCAUCUGAAGAAGUGAAAGAAUGUAGUAGUAGUGGUGGUGGUGGUGUUACAUAUUGCGAAAGUGCAACUGGGCUGCAAGUGGCAUCUCAGUUUUAAAUUGAAAUCACCGGGAGGCCACAGCAGGUGGCGGGCAGAGCGGGCGGCGGAGCAGGCAGCCGUGGCGUGCCGUCACGUCGGAGAGAGGGCCCACGAGCGUGAGAGAGGAAAGGGAGAGCGAGCGAGAGAUGAGAUGAAAAUAGAGAUGAGAAGAGGGGUGUGUGGAGGGAGGAGACAGAGACAAGGAGAGAGAAUCUUUCGGGUAGAUAAUUAUCCCUUUUGCGAUUUUUUUUCUUUCUUUGAAUCAUGCUUGCCGAGUGUGUGGGUCAGUGAGUGAGUGCGUGGGUGGGUGAGCGAGUGCGUGGGUGGGUGAGCGAGUGCGUGGGUGAGUGAAUGUGUGGGUGGGUGGGUGAGUGCGUGGGUGGGUGGGCGAGUGCGUGGGUGGGUGAGCGAGUGCGUGGGUGGGUGAGUGAAUGUGU